GAGAGACGAACCCUCGUUUCUCCCCUUCAACUAAAUUUUCUCCUUUUAUAUCCAUUUUCUUUGAUUUUCAAUCCAAAACUUAGCGAUCUAAGCUCCGGUAGUAGCAGGAUAGCGAAUUCUCAGAGCGGAGAAGCUUAAGGGCCCGAGAUUAUCGAUCGUUCUCCAAGCAGGUCGGCCAACAUACCUGAUCCGAAACUUGAGGUAAGGGCAAGGCAAAGUUAGAACAACCAUGAGAUGGCGAUCUUCUCCAGCAAUGUACAUAUUGACCCCACCAGCUUGCGUGUUGAGUUGACAGGAGUUGUUUUAGACUGGCUGUGUCUUGUGUCUGCUGUAUUUUGAAUUGUAUUUUGAACUGUUGUUGUAUAUCAUCUUUUGGAUAAAUCUUUUAUAACAGGGAUUUCCGGAACUCCUUUUUACUGCCGUUAUAAUGUCCGUUUUUAGUAUUUUAUUUUA